ACAGGAGAUCAUCGUAACUAACUGGUCAGCAGGCUAUUAAAUAAUCUAAAUAAUAUAUUUUAAUUAUUUGUUUACUAACAAGAAGCCUGACCUGUGGCAAGAACGGUGAGUGAAAGUCCCAAGAGCAAUCUCUUAUGUCUGAAUUACUGAUUUGUGAAAGAAAUCUUAAACUUUUGACCAUUCACACACCUUUCCAAGAUCAGGCUCAAUGGUUUCACAGCUAACCAGAUGACACCACACCAAAGUGCUCCUGUGCUAGCUGAUUGUUAUUCAGCUGGUCAAGCAAUUCUCUUGUUUGGUUGUUUGGUUUGGGACUUGUGAUUUGUUGCCAUUUAAAGAAAACCUCCAUUAAACAAUAUCCUAAGCCAAUUGAAUGAACUGACAUCCUGACACCACCACAUCUCCAAGGCCCAUGUUAAUAUUAUAUUCCAAUCUCUACCCAAGUCCCCCAAAUUAUCUCAUCUCUUGAGGUUCAUCAACGGAAUGAUUGUAUGUACUAUACCUUGUUUUCCCAGAGCACCUACAUGUUACAUGUCUCACACUCUAAAUGCAAUCACUUAAUUUUUGCAAAGAAUUAAAACUGUGAUGCUUCUCACGUUUUCAUUCUUCCUUUGUUGUUGUUGUUAUCUCUCCCUUAUGUGAGAUCUCAGUCUCACAGAGAUGAAAAUAUUAUUUUUCCUUGCGACACUGUGUGGACUCAGAGGUAGAUUGUCUCCAUAUUCAACCCCAAAGAUACGUUUCUCCGAAAUGUUGGUGUUUCCCAUCGAUUCCACACGGCGUCACGACCCAUAAGAAACAUAUCUUCACCUUCAUCGAAAAUAUUGUUAGUACUUUGUCAAAUGAAGCAUCCUCAACCUGUUUUGCUUUGUGUAAGCCCGUGACUUUCGCUCUCCUGCUUCGGGUGGAAGCAAACUCUCACUUUUUAUUGUAAUCACAGGAAUUACGUUGCAUUGGGGAACGGAGUGUGUUUAUUCUGAGAACUGCCGUAAGCUUGGCGGGUUGCUCAGCAUUUGGCAGGCGUUACCGCACGCGCUACAGUAAUGCCUCGAACUUCUGUUUCAGUUACCGAGCGAGUGCUCAGGUGGUUUAAAUGCGUCAGUGGUGGAACAGUUGAGGGGGAAGAAAGCUCCUCCCCUCCCCUAAGUCAUCCCACAAAUUCCAGAGUGAUGAAACGGGAAACAAGUUAAAGGAUGCUGUGGCCAGAACGUGCCUGGGUCCAAGAAAAACUGUCACGAUAACAGUCUCCGGGCCCAGAUCUGAACCUGAGACUGCGAAUUCGGGAGUGAUAACCACGCAACGGCGACGUUCGGCUUAAGUUUGGUGCUUAAUUUUGAAUCACACGUAUCCCGGGCGUUUGAUAGGGAGAGGAGGGCCGGUUAAAUAGCCAGUCCGCUCCCCAGACUUUGACACCUCUCGAAUACUACUUUUGGGGGCAUGUCAAGAGCCUCGUUUACGAGACACCGGUGGACGACCCAGAACAACUCCUGGCCAGAAUACUUGCUGCAUCUGACGUGGUCCGUGAGACUCCUGGGAUAUUUGAAAGGGUGCGCCAGAGUUUCGUUGGCCGAUGCAAUGCCUGCAUUGAAUGUGGAGGACGCCUCUUAGAACACUUCUUGUAAAUUUGGUUUGUAAGAUUGCUAAUGUAAUCCUUGAACAUUAAUAAAAAAAAUAGGCUCUAUAUAUAUCCCUCCCCCACACAUACACUAGUUUUCUUCCAGUACCAGUUCUGUCAACAACAGUGAGUUGGUUGGAACAAGGGGUGUCAUAAAACUGUUCACAACUAUUUGGAACUGAUCCAGAUCUGCUCCGGCAAACAAACCCCCAUACCUCAACGACAUAUUAGUAGCUAAGCCCGAAAAUCUCAGUUUCUAAUCGGUUCGAAAUCUCGGAGGAUUUCUGCUACAUUUCUAAUAAAAACAAGAGUGGAAAGUGUACACAGAAUUUAGAGUCUUUGAGAUUUUUCAUCGUUCUUCGGCGGUGAAGUUCUGCAGAUAUAAACUAUCGUUGAAACUUAUUGCACUGCAGAUAUCACACUUCACAUUAAGAAAUAUUUCCUUGUAAAUUAGUAAAUAUCGUUACGUAACACACCAAAAAGUGUUUCAAGCAGGUUGUAGAUUAAAAAAAUUAUUAUUUGGACCGCCCACAUUAAAAAUUCAGUAAUUAUUUAUAAAAUCAACAAACAUGUUAAAGAAAAUUACCAAGAAGAGGUGACGGGGAACAGUGGCCAUCGGGAAAUGAGAACCACCACUUUUUUACGAGCACCCAUGACUUUAAAAUGGUUUGAAAGGUGCUGUCAUCUGUGGCUCUGAGGUGCAAACAAACUUGCUAGCGGAAAGCGACAUUCAGUUUUUCAGUAGUCGUUCAAUCGCUAUAGAUGUUUUUCUGUGUUUGUGUUAUGGAAGUGGCGCGUUAUAAAGGCACAACUAUAUAGCUUCGAAUGAGACGAUGCUAGUAAAUAAUGAAUUGGAAAGGAUGUGGAAGGAAGGAGUCGUGGUCUAAUAUCGCGGCAUUUGCCUGAAGGGACUGAGGAAAACCAGAAAACGUCAGUCAAGAUAGGCGGUCUCCGGGCCUAGAUUUGAACCCGGGACCUCCCCAAUAUGAAGCUUGAGUUCUAACCACUCGGCGUUUGUUGAGUUGCAGUUCGGAAAUGAUGCACGAUAGAAUAAUAGCAGAACGGCGCCAAAAACAAAGUUGUCUGCUUCGGAUGGAAGAUUACAGGGACAACGGCCCCAGCCCGAGAUACCUGUCCCGGAUUUGAGUCCUGGUGUUAGCUGGUGACUAAGUACGAUAGAACAUCGGUUUUCCAGUCAACAGUGUACAUGUCUUUCUUCAUUUUCGCAGGUACGGAUAAUAUUAAAUCCACCAUACAUAAACAUGUCGUGUUAGUGUAAGGUUCAGUGGCUGGCUUCAGUGAACACAGCAAUAGACAUACGGGUUCUAUAAAAUAAAUUUCUUGACAAAAUGAGGGACUGUCAGCUUCCCAGACAGGAUUAUGCUAAGUUGGAUCAAUUAAUAUUGGGUGAUUAAUACAAAUUAUGAACUGCGUUGUUUCUCCAGUCUCUGUGUCUCAUUAUCCGUGCUUAGCUCGACUAUAUCUGCAAGCACUUUGCUCGCGUAGACGUGUGGCGAUAAACCAAAUCCCUAUCGCGUAUUACUUUCUCAAAGUCAGAAAUAUGAAAUGUCACUGAGUCAAGUGUGUUAGUGUAGGUAAUUUUUUACGACUUCAAGUAAUUUGUAAGUUUGCAUUUGACAAAAGCUAAAAAAAAUGUAUUACCAGCAUUACCGAGCCCUUAGCCCUUGCUCCACUCCAGCGAGUUAAAAGAAAUUCAAAUUCGAAAUUCUGGCGCCAUAUCUCAUCAUGACGGCAUGAUUUAUAACUGUAAAGAUCAAAUGGAUUCUUUAAAUCAUGUUAUUACAAAGUAUUUGGACAAAUUAUGAUAAUUGAAAAGAUGAUUACACAUCUGUCAAAGAUAAAAAUGUGCUAAAUAAAUAAAUUUAAAAAGAUUAUUUUCUUGAAAAGUAUUCACGUACC